UACGUAGGGUGCAAGCGUUAAUCGGAAUUACUGGGCGUAAAGCGUGCGCAGGCGGUUCUAUAAGACAGAUGUGAAAUCCCCGGGCUCAACCUGGGAACUGCAUUUGUGACUGCAUAGCUAGAGUACGGUAGAGGGGGAUGGAAUUCCGCGUGUAGCAGUGAAAUGCGUAGAUAUGCGGAGGAACACCGAUGGCGAAGGCAAUCCCCUGGACCUGUACUGACGCUCAUGCACGAAAGCGUGGGGAGCAAACAGG
rnacentral:rRNA from 1 species